rnacentral:rRNA from 1 species
GGCAGACGGGUGAGUAACGCGUGGGAACAUACCUUUUGGUUCGGAACAACACAGGGAAACUUGUGCUAAUACCGGAUAAGCCCUUACGGGGAAAGAUUUAUCGCCGAAAGAUUGGCCCGCGUCUGAUUAGCUAGUUGGUGAGGUAAUGGCUCACCAAGGCGACGAUCAGUAGCUGGUCUGAGAGGAUGAUCAGCCACAUUGGGACUGAGACACGGCCCAAACUCCUACGGGAGGCAGCAGUGGGGAAUAUUGGACAAUGGGGGCAACCCUGAUCCAGCCAUGCCGCGUGAGUGAUGAAGGCCCUAGGGUUGUAAAGCUCUUUUGUGCGGGAAGAUAAUGACGGUACCGCAAGAAUAAGCCCCGGCUAACUUCGUGCCAGCAGCCGCGGUAAUACGAAGGGGGCUAGCGUUGCUCGGAAUCACUGGGCGUAAAGGGUGCGUAGGCGGGUCUUUAAGUCAGGGGUGAAAUCCUGGAGCUCAACUCCAGAACUGCCUUUGAUACUGAGGAUCUUGAGUUCGGGAGAGGUGAGUGGAACUGCGAGUGUAGAGGUGAAAUUCGUAGAUAUUCGCAAGAACACCAGUGGCGAAGGCGGCUCACUGGCCCGAUACUGACGCUGAGGCACGAAAGCGUGGGGAGCAAACAGGAUUAGAUACCCUGGUAGUCCACGCCCGUAAACGAUGAAUGCCAGCCGUUAGUGGGUUUACUCACUAGUGGCGCAGCUNACGCUUUNAAGCAUUCCNCCUGGGGAAGUACGGUCGCAAGAUUAAAACUCNAAGGAUUGACCGGGGCCCGCACAAGCGGUGGANNUGUGGUUUAAUU